CUUUCAUCCAUCAAUUAUGGCAACCUCAAUCAGGGUUUUUUUUUCUUAAGUAUUUUUAUUUAUCUUUAGGCAUGAAAAAAAUCUUGUAUCUGAACUUGUAUGUGCAUUUUUUUAAAUGUGUACUUUUUUCAUUUUUUAAAACAUGGCAGGGUAUGGAGUGACACAUCAGUGUCCAGUGUAGUGGUUUAUGUGCAAGUAUACCAUCAACACUGACACAAAUACAAUAAAACAGCCUUUGAAUAGCUGUCCACUGUAGUGACCACUAUGUGUGACAGGGUUAAAGUAAAAAACAAAAAACUUCACUGUAAUCUUCACACAUGCAAAGCAAAAUGUGGGCAUAUUUUGGGCACCCUUGAUUAUAAAAUCAGAUUUAAGUGUUUUUUCCCUUAGUGUCUCUGUCUGGAAAAAGAAAACUAUGUUUCUGUUGCCCCAUUAGCUUUAAUUAUUUAAAACAUAUGAAAGUGUUUGUGAUGUGUUGGAUGUCUCCACGUACAGACACAGCCCUCAAUCUAUUUUCCUCUCACAGCUCGUUUAGUUUGCUGUUAUAAGUUCUUUGAAAACAGGAUCCCAAAGUCACACAUCCUCUCCGUCAGCAAAACCUACAGCCUUUGCUUAACACCGGCAUUUGUGAUCGAGACACCCAGAGGGGAGUACUGUGUGAGGCAGACUGGGAAGUGGGCAAAGACUGAAUUUAUCAAGCAAGAGACAAAGAAACAAUUAACACAUCAAGCACCUGCUGCAGCAUCAAUGAAUGACUCCAGCAGAAAUACAUCAACUAGCCCAUAAAGUCUCUUUGUAAACAUGAAGAGCUGCUGAACCUCUGCAUACUUUACCUGCUUAAAUACUGUUAAUAAUACUGACGAGAGGACACAUUUAUUGAGCACUGAUUUCAGAUGUUUCCAUUAAAAAUC
ensembl:lncRNA